rnacentral:rRNA from 1 species
AGAUUAAGUUAUUAAGGGCGCACGGUGGAUGCCUUGGCACUAGAAGCCGAUGAAGGACGUUACUAACGACGAUAUGCUUUGGGGAGCUGUAAGUAAGCUUUGAUCCAGAGAUUUCCGAAUGGGGAAACCCAGCAUGAGUUAUGUCAUGUUAUCGAUAUGUGAAUACAUAGCAUAUCAGAAGGCACACCCGGAGAACUGAAACAUCUUAGUACCCGGAGGAAGAGAAAGAAAAUUCGAUUCCCUUAGUAGCGGCGAGCGAAACGGGAAGAGCCCAAACCAAAAAGCUUGCUUGUUGGGGUUGUAGGACACUCUAUACGGAGUUACAAAGGACGACAUUAGACGAAUCAUCUGGAAAGAUGAAUCAAAGAAGGUAAUAAUCCUG